rnacentral:piRNA from 1 species
AUGCCUCUGGCUUCUUCUGGACUGAGGCCAC